rnacentral:lncRNA from 1 species
CAGCAGCAGCAAACGUUGACUGCGGCAGCGCGAAAGAUGCCACCAAUCCCAGCAGCAGCAAACAGCCAAAGCGGUCAGUGGCAGUGGGAAUGGCAGUUGGCGGGUGGCAGAUGAUAAAACAUUACCCAUCGCCACAGUGUACAGAGGUACUACGUGCAACGACAGCAGCAGCAGCAGCAGCAGCAGCAGCAACGGCAGCAGCAUUUGGCCCAACCUCUUCUUCACGAC